AAGCUCGUAGUUGAAUUUCGGGAUUGACGUAAUGGUCAUGCCUUAAGGGGUAUGAACUGUUACUGUUGAUUUCUCACCUUCUGGAGAAACUUGAUGUCCUUUAUUGGGUGUCUUGCGGAUCCAGGACCUUUACCUUGAAAAAAUUAGAGUGUUUAAAGCAGGCAUUUUUGCUCGAAUACAUUAGCAUGGAAUAAUAGAAUAGGACGGCAUUUGGUUCUAUUUUGUUGGUUUCUAGGAUCACCGUAAUGAUUAAUAGGGAUAGUUGGG
rnacentral:rRNA from 1 species